GUCUCUGUAGCUUACAGCAAAGCAUGGCUUUGAAGAUGCCAAGACGGCCCGCCUCCUGACCCGGAGACA
rnacentral:tRNA from 1 species